AUCUAGCUGACAAGUCCCAAAUAGGACGAAACGUGCUUCCUGGAU
rnacentral:hammerhead_ribozyme from 1 species